UACGGAGGGUGCGAGCGUUGUCCGGAAUCACUGGGCGUAAAGGGCGCGUAGGCGGCGCGAGUAGUCAACGGUGAAAGCCCGGGGCUUAACCCCGGGUCGGCCGUGCCGACUGAAAAGCUGGAGCACUGUAGAGGCAGGUGGAAUUCCGGGUGUAGCGGUGGAAUGCGUAGAGAUCCGGAAGAACACCAGUGGCGAAGGCGGCCUGCUGGGCAGUUGCUGACGCUGAGGCGCGACAGCGUGGGGAGCAAACAGG
rnacentral:rRNA from 1 species